rnacentral:rRNA from 1 species
CCUACGGGUGGCAGCAGUGAGGAAUAUUGGUCAAUGGACGGAAGUCUGAACCAGCCAUGCCGCGUGCAGGAAGACGGCUCUAUGAGUUGUAAACUGCUUUUGUACAAGGGUAAACCUGAAUACGUGUAUUCAGCUGAAAGUACUGUACGAAUAAGGAUCGGCUAACUCCGUGCCAGCAGCCGAGGUAAUACGGAGGAUCCAAGCGUUAUCCGGAUUUCUUGGGUUUAAAGGGUGCGUAGGCGGAUUGAUCAGUUAGAGGUUAAAGUUCCGAGCUUAACUCGGGAACUGCCUCUAAUAACGUUGAGCUAGAGAGUAGAUGCGGUAGGCGGAAUGUAUGGGGUAGCGGUGAAAUGCUUAGAGAUCAUACAGAACACUGAUGGCGAAGGAAGCUUACCAAGCUAUAUCUGACGUUGAGGCACGAAAGCGUGGGGAGCAAACAGGAUUAGAUACCCCAGUAGUC